UACGUAGGUGGCGAGCGUCAUCCGGAUUUACUGGGUGUAAAGGGCGUGUAGGCGGGUUUGCAAGUCGGGUGUGAAAUAUCCAGGCUUAACUUGGAUGGGUCAUCCGAAACUGCAGAUCUUGAGUGCUGGAGAGGAUAGUGGAAUUCCUGGUGUAGCGGUAAAAUGCGUAGAUAUCAGGAGGAACACCAGUGGCGAAGGCGGCUAUCUGGACAGUAACUGACGCUGAGGCGCGAAAGCGUGGGUAGCAAACAGGAUUAGA
rnacentral:rRNA from 1 species